UAAUAAGAAGCAAAAUUUAUGCUUUUAGUUUCGACCUAAAAAUUUGAUGAAAUUCCAUCCUUAUU
rnacentral:tRNA from 1 species